UCACCUUGUUUAAGUUGCACUCGUGUGGUUCCUAAUUCUGACAUUACAAUGUUGUUUUGAAUUGGUUCGACCCCGAAACCGAUUGUGGUUUCUCCAACGACCGAGCUUCUUCGAGGACGACCGAACUCAGAAUCGAGGAUGGGGCACAACUGAAGCGCUAUUUGAUCCCCAAAUCUAGAGUGAAAUCUGAGAGAAGCAAAACGAAAAGCGAAAUCAAAACCAGAGCAAGAAUUGGUGAAUUCCGGUGCUGGAUAGUUGGGGAUUUAAUGAGCAUUUCUAUUGGUGAUGCGGAAUUGAUGGCAAGCCCAGUCAUGUUCUAUGCAGAUUUUCCAGAAAGCAAUAUCAACUUCAAAUGCUUACAAUGAUCAAUUCAGGUAUUCCUCUGAGUAAUUAGAUAUUCUGUUUCAGGUUGAUACAAUGGUUGUUCAAGCCAUUGUGAAGUGUGUUACUUGUUUUCUUGCUAGAUUCUCGCUGCAAAUCUUCAUCUUCUUCAUCUAGCUUCCUCUAGUCCUUGAAGAAUUAAGCUGUACACUUGAGGAGUAGAGAUACUUGCUCUCUUUUUGACUAAUGUUGUUGUGGGUUGAUUGCAUGUGUGUAGAUUUAGUUAUAUUUU